CACACUGCCACCACCGCCCCAUGUGUCUUCCUCUCCUCUGAUCUUUACACCAAACAAGCAGAAGCAAACAUCUUCUUCUCCUCUCUUCCUCCCUACAAAAGAUCUCCCCCACGCCAUCUGCAUCACACAGCCACAAGCACACACAGGCAGCAGCUCAAACAUAGCACAUACACAUGCAUGCAAGCACACCAACAGCCCAGUCGCGUUCUCUUGUCGUCAUGAGCAUAGCCAAGUCACGCUCCUCCACACCUCCGUCCCCCGGCCUUCUCCCCUUUGCCAUGCUAUCCAGCCGCCACGCGACCAACCAGGCCGCAACAGAGCUUGACCACGCGUUGUCCCUGCCGCUGCUGCCAUGCUCUGCCUCUCACGCGUGUCACCGUACCGCUGCGCCGCUGAGUCACCGUGCUCAACCUCCUCCUGCCGCUGAGGAAUCCACCACCGUUUUUAUUGAAUUCUUCUUAUCAUCCACUCAGACUUGAGCAAUAUUAUUGUCUUGGACUCACAAAAGAGAGCUCAGUCAACUUACCAAGAUCUCAUCAACAUGCUAAACAGUGUAUGAGACAGGCACCCAACAACAAUCUUUGCAGAUUUUAUCUACUUAGUUUCAUGUACACAUUCAGCGGAGACGGAGAUGUCGUCAUGUUUAAUGAUGUUGAGCGCUUUAAAUACCACACAAAUGAGAUACUCCACAGUGAAAUACAUAUCAUUCGAGAACAGAUCACCGGGUUCUUCAUCGAGUAUGUUAUCAACCCAAACAGUGAGUUUCAUGAACCGAUUGAGCCGCCACAAUGUGAGGGACCUUCAGACGACACCCAAGCCACUUUACCUUCUAGUAGAGAGUAUGUUAUAAGGAGUAAGUCUAACAGAAACUUCAACCGCUAGAAUGUUAUUGAUUAUUCCCUAAUUCAUUGUAACUAUGUUGAAUGAUAAAUAAUUUAUGUAUAUAUAUUUUUUAUUAAAUAUGUGUCUCAUUGUAUACAUGUAUUGAGGGAGAGUGGAGAGGAGAGAGGAGAGAGGAGAGGGAGAGAGAAGAGAGGAGAGGAGAGGAGAGAGGAGAGAGGAGAGAGAGGGAGGAGAGAGAGAGAGGAGGCAAAACACUAUCGAUAGUGAUUUACUAAGGAUCACUGCCAGCGGGUGGUUCCAAGAGUAUCACUAUUGGCUGAAGUCUUGACGCGAUGAUGAUAACCCCUUUAUUGUCUUUUCAAAGAGCCGACUGUAAAACCGGCAAUGAAAGGAUUUACUAGCCGACAAUGAUGAGAAUUUAUGUGCUGUUGUGUGGCUUAUUUUGGCACUCGAAUAUACGAUGGCCUUGAUGUCAUCCAUUGCCCUAGUAGAAUCUCCAAGUAUAUGUCAUCCACUACCCGAGGCUCUCUCCUGAAAAUGUGGACAGAAUCGUACAAAGGAUUGAGCAAGGAAGAUCUUCUUCGUUGCGCUCAAAGUGUGGCGGGGGUAAUGUCUAUUCUCCGGUCUGACAACCCAGCUGCUGGAGGACAAGGCGCUCGGAGGUUGAGACUUAGUGGAAGACCCGACUGAUGUGGAGGUCACUGCCGAAGAUGGAAGCAUCAACUGACCCUGGAGUUUCUGCUGGAAAAAGGAUGUCUUCAUGAAGAACAGUUGCUGCGAGGUCUUUUGUUGAGACGCUUUUGCUGAUGGCAAAUACUCAUCCACCUCCGCGUACGAGACCAAAUUCAUGGGAUCCUUUCCAGAUCAAAACUGGCACAGCAUAUGGAACUGGAAGGCGUCGGUCGAGCCGAAGUGCAAGAUGAUUUGGCUUCUGCUACAACAAAAACUGCUCACAACCGGCCAAUUCAUAAUCGGCUAUGGACAGCAGACAGACUGCAGAGGCGUGGAUGGUCCAAUCAGCAUAUUUGUCCUCUCUACCAUGCUGAACCAGAGACGACAUUCCAUCUUUUAGUAUGUGGGAAAGCUUUAAAGAGGGGUUCACUAUUCCUUACCUACUUCGACCAAUUCGAGCGUCUCCCUGCCGAUGUCAGAAUGGUGGCAGCCGG